rnacentral:rRNA from 1 species
UACGUAGGAGACGAGCGUUUGUCCGGAGUUACUGGGCGUAAGGGUGCGCAGGUGGCGGCGCGCGUGGGGGGUGAAUCGCCCGGCUUAACUGGGCGGGGGGCCUUCCAGACGGCGUGGCUUGAGCAGCGGAGGGGGACGUGGAAUUCCGGGUGGAGCGGUGAAAUGCGUAGAGAUCCGGAGGAACACCGACGGCGCAGGCAGCGUCCUGGCCGCUUGCUGACACUGAGGCACGAAAGGCUGGGGGAGCAAACAGGA